AGCAGCCGCGGUAAUUCCAGCUCCAAUAGCGUAUAUUAAAGUUGUUGCAGUUAAAAAGCUCGUAGUUGAAUUUCGGGGUCAGUAGGUUGGUCAUGCCUCCGGUAUGUACUGGUCUCACUGAUUCCUCCUUCCUGAUGAGCCGUAAUGCCAUUAAUUUGGUGUUGCGGGGAAUCUGGACUGUUACUUUGAAAAAAUUAGAGUGUUUAAAGCAAGCUAACGCUUGAAUACAUUAGCAUGGAAUAAUGGAAUAGGACGUUCGAUCCUAUUUUGUUGGUUUCUAGGAUUGACGUAAUGAUUAAUAGGGAUAGUUGGGGGCAUUAGUAUUCAAUUGUCAGAGGUGAAAUUCUUGGAUUUAUUGAAGACUAACUACUGCGAAAGCAUUUGCCAAGGAUGUUUUCAUUAAUCAAGAACGAAAGUUAGGGGAUCGAAGACGAUCAGAUACCGUCGUAG
rnacentral:rRNA from 1 species